rnacentral:rRNA from 1 species
GAUGAACGCUGGCGGCGUGCUUAACACAUGCAAGUCGAACGAAGCACUUUAUUUGAUUUCCUUCGGGACUGAUUAUUUUGCGACUGAGUGGCGGACGGGUGAGUAACGCGUGGGUAACCUGCCUUGUACAGGGGGAUAACAGUUGGAAACGGCUGCUAAUACCGCAUAAGCGCACAGCAUCGCAUGAUGCAGUGUGAAAAACUCCGGUGGUAUAAGAUGGACCCGCGUUGGAUUAGCUAGUUGGUGAGGUAACGGCCCACCAAGGCGACGAUCCAUAGCCGACCUGAGAGGGUGACCGGCCACAUUGGGACUGAGACACGGCCCAAACUCCUACGGGAGGCAGCAGUGGGGAAUAUUGCACAAUGGGCGAAAGCCUGAUGCAGCGACGCCGCGUGAGCGAAGAAGUAUUUCGGUAUGUAAAGCUCUAUCAGCAGGGAAGAUAAUGACGGUAC